UAUCAGUUGAUGAUGAUCCAGUUACUGGAGUUGAUUCCACGCUUAUCAUUCCGGAGUGGCAGGUUUUGUGCUUGCGAUUGCUAGGGUUUGAGUGUUUGGAUGAUCGUUAUCGACAUUUUCAUAUUGCGGAUGAUGCAUCAGAGGAGAUGGUGCAGCAGUAUGUUAUGGGUCAGGUGCUGCGGUUGUUAGGUAGUGUCCUGUUACUCGAUACUUUAUCAAAUAAGAUGAAGUUGAUGUUUUUAUCAUUAUUAGAUGAUUUAGACUUCGCUCGUCGAUUCAGUUGGGGCAGUGCAGUACUAGCUUGCCUAUACAGAGCUAUGUGUCAGGAUUCUUAUGCUGAUUAGAGUGAGAUUGAUGGUUAUCUUGUAUUAUUACAG
rnacentral:lncRNA from 1 species